GCAUUAAUGGGGUAGAGGUAACCCGGGUCUUUAAAGUAUGAGUUUGGGAUCACCAUUUAAGACCAGCUGAGGGUUCGAAUCCCUCUUAAUGCA